UACGUAGGGGGCAAGGCGUUGUCCGGGAUUUAUUGGGCGUAAAGAGCGUGUAGGCGGCUUGGUAGGUCUCGCGUCAAAACCUGAGGCUCAACCUCAGUUCGCGUGGGAAACCACCUAGCUAGAGUCCGGAAGAGGAGAACGGAAUUCCCAGUGUAGCGGUGAAAUGCGCAGAUAUUGGGAAGAACACCCAGUGGCGAAGGCGGUUCUCUGGGACGGUACUGACGCUGAGACGCGAAAGCGUGGGGAGCGAACAGG
rnacentral:rRNA from 1 species